UGAGAUGGGGUCUCACUUUGUUGCCCAGCCUGGUCCUGAAACUCUGGCCUCUAGUGGUCCUCCCGUCUUGGCCUCUCUAAAUGUUGAGAUUAUAAGCAUGGGCCUCCAAGCCCUGCCUAUUUUUAAACUUUUUAUUGGAACCCUAUUUUUUUGAAAAAAAAAAAAUUGAAAACCUUUUUAUAUACACAUAUUGUAGCCAUGCACCUUAACGAAUUUUCAGAAACUGAACACACUGUGUACUCCAUCUGUUUUUGUAAAUUAAGUUGUUUUUGAAACACAGCCAUGCCGUUUAUUUCUGUGUAUGUCUAUGUCUGUGGCUGCUUCCGCACUACAAUGACAGAAUUGAGUAGCUGAGAUGGAGACCAUAUGGUCUGCAAGGCUGAAAAUACUCUCUGGCCCUUUGCAGAAAAAGUCUCCUGACUCCUUCUGUAUAGUAUUCCACGGUGUGAAUAUACUAACAUGUAUUUAUUUAUUCAUCCUACUAUUGGCAAGCAGUUGGGUAGUUUCCAAUGUGAGGCCAUUAUGCAUAACUUGCUAUGAAGAUCUCGUAUAUGUCUUUGGUGAAACAUGUAUAUGCAUUUCUGUUGAGUUUAUUUCUAGAAGUGGAAUUGUUAGAACAUAGGGAAGAUGUAAGUUUAAACUCAUUAAAAACUGCCAGUUUUCCAAAGUGGUGUGCCAUUACCUCUCCCACAAGCAGUGUCUGAGAGUUCCAUUUGUUCCAUAUCCUUUCAGCGUUUGGUAUUUUCUGUAUUUAUCAUUUUUGCCAUUUUCCCAGCCCCCAUUUUGACGUUUCUGAGUUAUUUCUGUUUGUCCUGGAAACCUGCAGGGAUAAAGCACUCACUGCGUCAAGGGGCAACUGGUCCAUCUUUGCACAAUUCUCAUUUCCUAGGAAGCUCUUCUUCAUAUAGCAGCUUUUCAGAUAUUUAAAAAUCAAUGCUCAUAUUCCACUGAAUGCUAUCUUCUGCAGGAAUAGAAACCAAAUUAUUUCCAGCGUCUUUAAAAAGUUGUUCGAAAGACCUGAGUUUGCGGGCCGUCAUCAUCCCGGGUGCCUGAGGAACGCGUUCAGCUUCUCUGGGCUUCAGGUGCCUCAUCGCAAACUGUUCCUGAUCGCCAAGCAGAUUCCAGCUUCUGCUCUCAGAGUUCAGGAUGGUGAGAGAGUCUCCCCUCUUCAGCCAUGCACGGAGUCGGGCAGCUGUUGAGAAAGCAAAUGAUGGCACAUACAGUACAUUGCAUGAAGGGCCCCAAGUCUGCCUCCUACUUUAUAGAUACACCUGUUGUCAUGCGACUUUUUACCUUCUUCCACCAAAAUGCAGAGUAUAUUUUCCUGCCCUGGAUUUGGAGCUUGGCCAAGUACCUUGCUUUGGCCAAUAGGAUGUUAGGAGAGGUUUGAAAAGGCACUGGACAUUGCUGCUUGUCCUCUUUUGCUUCUGCCGUCACCAUGCAAAGGACCUGCCUAGGCUAACUUGCCGUCCUGGGAGAAGGUGGAAAAUGCAUGAAGCAGGACUGCCCCAGCCAAUGUGCCCCUCAGCCCGCAUGUGUGUGAGCAUGCCUGGCUGUGCCCAACCCAGACCAGCCCACUCAGCUGGACCCCAGGCAUGGGAGCUGAGAUAAUGAGUGGCCGUUGUUUUAAGACACUGAGUGUUGGGAGGUUUGCAUGCAGCAAAAGCUAACUAAAAUUGUUCUUUUGCACCUUUUCUUCAAAGUUAAAAAAUAAAUAUAGGUCAAGUUAAAUAGUGUUACUAUCUUGACCACUUUGGUUGGUAAAAAUAAGUUGUCCACCUACUACAUUGUGAGCUGAUCCACACAAAUUCUUCACCAACACUGUAAAUGUAUACUGCAUGUUUAUGCAAACAAGUUUUGAAACAUGGAAAAAUUUUCCUUUACUUUUUCUAAUUUUUCAAAUGCUUUACAUUUCAGUUAAGCGCAUAUCCUGGGUUUGCUGUGAUAGAAAGAUUGUAGGAGGUCAGUUCAUCUCCUGCAUUUGUGUUUCGACAUGUCUGUAAAUUAUAGACCAUCAUUCUUUACAAAAGUAUUAGUCUGAGAUGGAACUAUUAAUUGGAAUAGAUAUGUUUUCGUUUCUUAUGGUACAAUUCUCCUAAAAAGAAUAUGUAAGGAUUGUUUUAAACUUUUGAAUAUGACAAUUAGUCUAGGGUGUACCACCACAAAUUCAAAAUUGAAAGUAACAAGUCAUAUAUUUUAUUUCACCUUAAAAAAAAUCCAGAACAAGUAAUGGAAAAAAAUGGAAUUAAUUCCUGAAAACGUCACAAAUUCAAUAAAAGAGAGGUGUGUUAUAUUAUGUAUAAUUUAAUUAUUUGUUUGUUUGAAGCAGAAGGAAUCUGCAGAAAUUUUACUUUAAAACAUUUUAGCAUAAACACUGUCUGAUAUGUGUAUGUGCAGAUCGAUUUUAAUAUUAACUCUAUAAUUUUAACAUUUAAAAGCCUUGCUCAGGAACACAAACUUCAGGAGUGCUGCUCUGAACUAUCAAACCCUUUUAUUAGAUCACUGGCUAAGUUUUCACUGGUAGAAGGCGUGUUUCAGAAUGUGGGCUUGGGAUGCCUCCUGUGCAGGUGCACCUGCUCUGGCCUGGAUGGGGUAGAGGAGCCCGCUGAGCCCAGUAUCGUCACAUGCUCCAGAGUGGUGCCCUGGACUUGGGCAGGGAAUUUUGCUGCCAGUCCAACUAGAAGAUUAGCUAAACCCUGCUGCUAGAUUAUUGGUGCAUCUGCUUCACAUAAACCUUUUGUUAUUUAUUAGCUAGUCUAAGGGGCACAAAACACGAUGUUGCAGACUUUUAGGAGGAGUUUGCAUGCCUGUACUGGGAUCACAAACAUUUUUUUAAUAGAAUUACACCACUAAUAGUAUAUAUAGGUAGGUGAGGUACAUUUCAGGUGCUCCCCUGUUCAUUACGAACAACUGUCCCUGGUACAACAUGUCUACUCAGUACCAGGGAGCAGGAGAACCCAAAAGUGCCCUGUUUGGUUAGCCCAUAGUUAGUGCGAAAAUAACAAAAAAAUGUACUUUUGAUAAUGAUUCUUGUCAUUAUGAUAAGUAGAUUGGGGAUUGGCAAACUAUGGACUGGGGGCCAAAUGCCACUUGCUGCCUACUUUUAUAAAUAAAGUUUUAUUGGAACAUAGCCACACUCAUUCAUUUACAUAUGGCUGCUUUCACAGGGGCAAAGUGGAGUAAUUUUGGCAGACACCCAUGGCCUAUAAAAUGAAAAAUAUUGACUGUCUGGUCCUUUACAGGAAAAGACUGCCCACCCCUGACACAGUGUCUAGUCAUGUGGCUUUUCAAACAACAACAACAAUAAACCCCAUUCAUUUGAAAUCAUAAAAGUGGCUUGACUUGUGUUUUUAUAACUUAGAAAAUAAGUGGCACUUUAAAAAGUAUUUUUAUUUGGUUUUGUAUCUUCAGAGUCUGCAAAGUUCCCAAGAGAGAACACUUUAAUGAGAGGAGGGGAGGAAGGGUGUUCCAAUGAUUGGAGAGAGAGACAGGCAGAGGGGGGAGUCAGGGAACAAAGUAGCAAUGGGGCCCUUUCCUCUGCCUCAGAAAGAACCUGCCCCAUGGCUGGUCUGCUUCUCAAACACAGAAGCUUUCUUCUGACCUCAGGACCUUUGCACUAGCCAUUUCCUUUGCCUGGGUCACUUUUCCCUUAGGUAUCCACCAGACUGGCUCCUUCUCAUCACUCAGGUUUCAGCUCAAAUGUCACCUCCUUGGACAGACCUUUCCUGAUCACCCACUCCAAAGACUCAUUCUCCUCUCCCCAUAC